rnacentral:rRNA from 1 species
GACGAACGCUGGCGGCGUGCUUAACACAUGCAAGUCGAACGGAGUGGCGAACGGGUGAGUAACACGUGGGUGACCUGCCCUGCACUUCGUGAUAAGCCUGGGAAACUGGGUCUAAUACCGGAUAGUGUGGGAUGGGCGCGCGGCCUAUCCGCUGGUUGGUGGGGUAAUUGCCUACCAAGUGGGCGACGGGUAGCCGGCCUGAGAGGGUGGACGGCCACAUUGGGACUGAGGGACGGCCCAGACUCCUACGGGAGGCAGCAGUGGGGAAUAUUGCAGAAUGGGCGGAAGCCUGAGGCAGCGACGCCGCGUGGGGGAUGACGGGCUUCGGGUGGUAAGCUCCUGUCACCAUCGACGCGGUAGAUGGAGAAGAAGCACCGGCUAACUCCGUGCCAGCAGCCGCGGUAAUUC